rnacentral:rRNA from 1 species
GUAAGGAAUAUUGGUCAAUGGACGAAAGUCUGAACCAGCCAUGCCGCGUGGAGGAUGAAGGUCCUCUGGAUUGUAAACUUCUUUUAUAUGGGACGAAAAAAGGGUUUUCUAACUCGUCUGACGGUACCAUAUGAAUAAGCACCGGCUAACUCCGUGCCAGCAGCCGCGGUAAUACGGAGGGUGCAAGCGUUAUCCGGAUUCACUGGGUUUAAAGGGUGCGUAGGUGGGUUGGUAAGUCAGUGGUGAAAUCCCCGAGCUUAACUUGGGAACUGCCAUUGAUACUAUCAGUCUUGAAUACCGUGGAGGUCAGCGGAAUAUGUCAUGUAGCGGUGAAAUGCUUAGAUAUGACAUAGAACACCAAUUGCGAAGGCAGCUGGCUACACGAAUAUUGACACUGAGGCACGAAAGCGUGGGGAUCAAACAGGAUUAGAAACCCUAGUAGUCC